UGCCAGCCGCCGCGGUAACACGGGGGGCGCAAGCGUUAUUCGGAAUUAUUGGGCGUAAAGGGCGCGUAGGUGGAUAUGUGCGUGAGAUGUGAAAUCCUUGGGCUUAACCUGAGAACGGCAUUUCAUACGGCAUAUCUUAAGAGUGUGAGAGGGGAAGGCGGAAUGGCCAGUGGAGCAGUGAAAUGCAUUGAGAUUGGCUGGAACACCGGAGGCGAAGGCGGCCUUCUGGCUCACAACUGACACUGAGGCGCGAAAGCGUGGGGAGCAAACAGGAUUAGAUA
rnacentral:rRNA from 1 species